GGGUGAAAAGGAAUAGUUGCAGGCACACAGAGGAAUCGAGAAAAUUCUUUUCAGUAGAAAUCAAAAGGAAGUUAAAGGGAUUCGGAGAAUAUGACAAAGCAGGAAGCACCAUAAACCUGUCUUUCGGCACCCAUUGCACUGACACCAUUUAAGAAGUUAUUUUGGAAGUCAAGAGUCUACUAAAGGCAUCUAAUAUCUGGAGGGAAGCCUCAGAUGCACUGAGAAGCAGGGAUGGUUACCUGGGACCAGCUGAGCCACCCCCACUGCGGUGACCCCAGCACUUGCGACAGUCAGAUAGGAAAGGCAUCCACCUAAUGCUGAGUUUGCUUAUCCCUUCAUGAAACAAAGGCCCCCAUCAGAGGGUGAAGACAGCAAAAAUUUACCUGCAAAAGGGCAACUCAAUCUAAACUUCAUCACUCGGAAGAGGAGACCAAGUUCCCUGAACAAGUUUCCUUAAAGAGAAAAAUGAGAGAGUAAAACAAAUGUAGCAUCAGUGAUGAUAUCCACAAGGCAAUGGAAUUAUCCCACAGCUAUAAUGUACACCUCAGAGACUACAGGCAAUUUAUUAUGAAACUAAAUAACUGAAGACUUCACUUACAAUUUCAACUUCAACUCCAUGUUCAAUUUGCAUCAAAAUAUGUGUGCUACCAAUAAAAUUGCACCAGAA